CAACAGGAAGAUCUCUUGUAAAGCUACUAUCGGAAGGCGAAUGAGUGACCAUGAGUAUAUAGAUCUGGAGAAUCUUCAAUCAUCGUCGACGAAGGAAAAUGAGGAGCAGUGUCAUUGAUGGAGAGGGAAAUGAGACGGAAGGUGUUAUAUGUGUGAUUUCACCACCAAUUUAACCAAUAAGAAUAGGAUUAGUGUGCAUGCCACUGCUUCAUUCCUUCUAAUCAUACGAUAUCGGGUUACUACAGGAGUUAAAAGCUUUUCACUUCUGAUUCUUCCACCACUCAGUCACUACAUCUUCCCUCACCGUUGGACAACAUCCUCGAGCAACCAGAGAUUAGGGUUCAAUUUUGGCUUCAGCUAACGUUUCAGACAGAGUACACCCCUGCCGUCCAUGCUAUCUGCCAACUUACACCCUUCUUCUUCGAUUUCAGCCACCGCAAUCUCUGGUGACACCGCCUCCACCACAGCCUAAAGAUAUUGGAGGUAAAUUUUCUUCUUUUCCACAAUUUAGUUAUAAAUUGUUUGCCCUUCAUCUACUCUGUCCUCCAAUCAUUCUAAACUGAACAGUCUAAACAAUCAGUUUCAUUCUACUCCCUCCUUCCGGUUAACUCCACAAUUAGGUUGUAACGUCAAAAUAAGAACCGAUGAUGUGUACGUUGAAGUUUCAAUGAGUCCUAAUGUUUAGGAAGGGGAUGCAAUUUUAAAGACCAUAACACGUUCCAUAGAAGUUCAUACAUCUUAUUUCCCACAAAACCAAAAGAAACCCUGAUACCAAAUGAGUUGCUGGAAACCACCACUUCUGUAGCAACGCCGCCACGAUCCAAAUCUCACCAACUAUGAUUCGAGCAGGGAGCUUCAAUCAAGCCUUAGAUCUGAUCAUCCUAGCUUUAAAAAAAAUCAUGCUCAAGACACGUGUUGUUAGUUGUUUUUGGAUGGGUCUUCCAGGUCCUUUAUGCAGAUCAUAUCUACCAAAACAAAAAACCUUAAUGGUGAUUGAAGAUGAAAAUGGACAAUAAUAUAAUUUUAAAUAUAUUGCUCAUAAAACUGGACUUAGUGCAGGAUGGAUGAACUUUGCAAUUGUACAUAAAUUGCUGGAAGGAGAUGUUUUGGUUUUCCAGUUAGUUGAAUCCACCAAAUUUAAGGUACAAAUCUUACUCUUUUAUGUCAAGAUUUUAAUCAUAUUAUGUAGUAAUUUCAACUAUUAUCAUACUUUUUUCU